UUUUCUCAUUCCUUGAAUUAGAUGCAACUUGAUGGUGCUGCUAAUAUAAUAUAGAAAUAAAAUAAUUUAAUUUAUUUAUUUACUUUUUCAGUAAUGGCUCCGCAGCCAGAUGCUAGGUCUGUUACACUUUGUCUCCACAUUUAGGGUUGUCCAUUGGGUAUAGGAGUAGGCAGUAGUGCAUCUGACCUGUUAAGAUGGCCCAUUCAUGUAUGGAGUAAAGAAAACACUCCCCUUGGAAUGACACUUUAAAGUUAUUUCCUCUGAAAAAUCUGUAAAACAAAACUGAACCUGGUACGUAACCCAGAAAGAGAUAAGAGACAGAUGUAAGCAAGUGAGUGUGUGUGUGUAUAUAUAUUACGCUUGCUUGCUUGACACUAUGGCACUAAUUAACUCUUAACUUGUAAUACUAAAUUAGCCAUGGGUUAAAUGGACUACAAACAAACUUUUAAAAAAUCUAUGAGCUCGCUUUGCAUUAUGGUGUUUCUCGCCUCCACCCCAUCUGCCAGUGUUAGUGUUUUUUAAAUUAGAACACCUGAGUGUGUGUGUGUGUGUGUUAUUGCUUAUUUAUAGAGCUAUUUUAUUUUUCCAAAAAAUAUCUUCUAAGUAAACUAAGUCAUAGUGCAGACAUGUUUAUGAAGCAGCACCAAAACCAUUUCAUGAAAUCUGGAUAACGUGGGAGAGUUUUAAGUUUAACACAUACAAAUGUCAACCCAACCACUAUUUUUUACAAAAAGUUCUAAUCAAGAAGUAUCUUUCACAAAUGUCAAGGUGUUGCAAUGGAAGAUAUCAAAAACAAGGCCUUUAGUCACUAUGGCUUGCUGUCUUAAUUUCUGAGAACUAGUGUAAAAAUGAUUACGUGUGGCAUAUUGAAUCUGUUCCUUGUAAAAUGCAGAAUAUUUGUUGAUUUGUUGGGCAUUGCAGUAGGUUGUUCAAAACUGGUCAUGUUUUGGCCUUUUUGCUGAUAGCAGCAGAUUUUUGAUAAAAUAUCCUGGUUGUUAGAACCAUCUAAUUAUAAUUAGAAGUCUUUGUCAUUUCAUUGAUUUCAGGUAACACCAGCACAGAAAUGUCUUAUGAGGCAUAGUACAAGGUGCCUGUCUUCUUUGUGACUUCCAUAGCAACAUACUGUAUGAUGCAGCUUAGAGAUGCUCUGUAAUAUAAUGCCUGUAGGUUCUUAACUCUCUCCUUAGUCUGUCCUCUCAAUCAAUCUUAAUACCCUGCUCCCAAUGGAUCGUUUAAUCUGCAUGCAACCAGACGAUGUGUUAAUGCCACAGUGGAAGGAUGACCUGGUACAGACUUGAAUUACUUCAUGUUGAUAAACUGGUCAGGAACCAACCAUUAAUAGAAAUGUUUUUGAUUCUUCUCUGCUCUUCUUAGUUAUUUAUGUUGUUGUAAUGGUCAGAAUUAAGACUGUGGUUGCUUGUGUAAAAACAGGCUUUUGAUAAGGCUGCAGAGAAUGGCUAAAAUGAUUAUUUCAGUUAUUCAGCUCAAUAUUAAUAUUACAUUUAUGCCACCUUAGAUGUCAUUGAAUUAGAUCCACUGCACCUCCAGAAAGCUCAACAGUGAGUUCGUAUCCCAUAAAAUGGCCCCCUCCACCAACUCUCAACAAUGAUCAGAGCUUUGCGGAUGGACCUCAGGUUGUAGCCAGUUCAAUACACCCUCAUUUCUAAUCUCACUAUUGGUCAUAAAAACAAUAUGCAAAUGGGUGGCUGGUCCUCCUGGCUUAAAACUACCUGUUUGGCAGUUUAGAAACCAAACUAUACUAACUGUAAUAGGAUGAUAAGUGACACACCAUCAAUCUCAUACACUUAAGAGUGCAAUAACUUCACAGAGCUGUGAAUGAUCCUCAUAGAACAAUUGUGUGUUGAGACCAACUGGCUUCCUCUAACGGAUAUAAGCAGUGUAUAUAAAUAUUAAAAAUGACCAAUGCUAAGUGUUAAAAGCUUUGCUUGUAACAAAGGAGGAUGUGUCAGAAAUGGCUCUUGUAGACCUGGUUGUUGGAAUUUACUAGAUUUGCCCACGCUCCAUCUGCCAGUGAGUCCAUUUCAGAACUGCAUGAUCCUUGUCAGGUUUUCCAGGCAGCACACUGCUAGCUGGGACUACUUACCACAGCAUUAUUUUCACCUUUCCUUUUUUUUUCUCUCUCUCUCUCUCUCUCUCUCUCUCUCUCUCUCUCGCUUUCCCUCUCUCUCUCUCGCUUUCGGUUGAAUGUUAGUCUUGAGCAUUUGUCAGUGAAAUAACUGGCUGUCUCAGUGCUGAAAUUUGAUGCUUUUAGCGUAGUUCUAUAUAAUUACCGAUGAAUGUUGUGUAGCAGUGUAUGUAAAGGCGUCACCACCAACUACUUUGCAUGUAUACACCAGAUUGUGGUCCUAGAUGAAAAUGUCACACACAGCUAAUUUCUGCAUUUGGAUUUGCCUUCUGGAAUCAAAACCCACUUAAAUGUCAUUAGCUAGAGAUGGUUAAAAUGUUUGCUGUGAACGUGUAAAGCAAAGCCUGUGAGACAGACGGUGUGGCACUCUAAACUUGAGCAUGAUAUAUGGCCGAAAGAUGUAAAUGGUUUGUUCCGCUGUUGUUGCUGCAUCUGCUUUAAACACAUUUAGCUGGGUCCUGGUGCAAAACUGUCUGUAGCUUUUACGUGUCUUGAAAAUGUGUAUAAUUACAGUCUUGUCGAUUUUACUUUUUACUUCUAUCUGUACAAGCCUUGUAUUGUAAACAGUAUUACAUUGAACAAAGACCUUCAAAAGUUUAAUGAGAAAUUUAAUGAGUUGAUUUUGGAAAAUAUGCUUAGCAAAUUGAUAAAUUGCACCAGAGGUUUAAUCUAAUGUAAAUUCAUAUUGAUCAGUUGUCAUUUUUGAUUCAUUGGUUUGUCCAUACAGAUGCUACACACAGCUAAGUUGUUGCUGUUGUUUUUCUUGGUUUAUUUUUCUACUAUCACAUUCAUUCAUCAAUUAUUAUCUUUAUUGUUCUUGGAAAAAAUAUUGUGUCUAUUGUGCUGUAUAAAUUCAGAUUCUGUUUUGCACAAAUAUCAGUGUGAUCCAGAACUUCAGCAAGACAGCCCAUCUUUGGCUCUGCAAUUACUGUUUGCACCUUUUUUACAAUAACGUGAAAAGACCUCUCUGUAAGAAUUUGGUAGUUUGUUUCCACCUUUUUAAGAUAUUUAUGUUUGACACAAGCACAAUUGUGUUUUAGCCAAGGUUUGCUAGAGGCCUCUUCUGCCAUUCUUGGGUUUUAGGGUUGUUCCUUAUCUUGACAUGGAAGUCAUUUAGAGGGAGGGGUUGAUUUGGCAUCCAGCCAUUUGAGAUUUUUCUCUCCACUGGCACCGAAAAUUACCCCACCCCCCUAUCCCUGCAUCUCCUCCCUCACUUCCAACCCCCUGUAUCCUCCUGAGUACCCCCGAGACAUGCUGCUCUCAUUUGGCCUGUGUCUGCUCUCUCCACUUAGCAUGCUAACAAUUGAUGUUGCUGUUUAAUUUGUAUCCAUGACAAUUAUCCCCUCCACAUGGCGCUUCCAAGAUUAGUUUAACAGAGCUCCCAUUGGAGGAUGCUGACACUGACAAAUCUCUCCAUACUGCAUGUAAAAGAGGGGCAAGUGCUAGUGUGUGUGCAUCUGUAUGAGUUGGCACACAGGCAUAUGGUUGGAAACGUAGACAUGGUUGUCUGAUUCGCUGACAGGGCACAUUCAGUAAGAAAUGGGAAGGGUUGCACUUUUUUUCUGAUUACAAAAAAAAUGGUUUUAAAACUGUGAUGACGUCUUUAAAGAGAUGACAGGGGAAGUAGAGAAAAGGCUAAUAUUACAUUUAACAUGGCACUCUAGAGAGGAAAUGUUGAAAAGGAGUGCAAAUUAGAUAUUUUUGGGUCACUCAACAGGAGGGAGACACAUGAGAAGCAUAUCCCGAUAAAUUCUUUUGCCUUGUAUCUCAAUCCAAGUCCUUUUUUAAUAAUGAAUAUUUGCCAAUACACAGUUCUGAUCCAAUGAAUGAGUCUGCAUUAAAAUAUGUAACUAGGUUUAAAGCUUUCUUUGAUAGCGUUGUAUAAUAUUUUGCUUAGUGUCCUAUAGAGAGGAGUGUCAGUAUGUACCUGUUGUGGCAGGAAGAUUUGGACUGGAUUGGGCAGCUUCUGCUGGUCAUCUGCAUGAACAAAUACAAUUUGUUUCCUCGUACUGUGCCGUGGUUCACUUGCUGGCUAUACUAUGUGUUAAGAAUACGUUGUAGUGCUUUAACAAAGCGAUGAUGGUCAAAACUUCUAAAAACGGAGUGCAAAAGGUCAGUAUUGCUCCAAGGUUUAUCACACAAGUGGUAAGUAUGAAUAGGGCUGGAUAUCAUUGUAUCAUACAUUUUUCUAUAUUAGUGCAGAUAUAAUACCUGGGUUUUGAUACUGUUACCAAAAUUCUACUUGAUUUAGAUACUAGAUAUUUUGAGAAAUCUAAACAUGUUUUUCAGACUGUUUUUCAGGAGAAGUAAAAUGAAAUUUUAUCGAAACACAAGCAACUGUACCAAGACUUCUGCCUCAAUAAAAUAGUCUAAAAUUGGCAAAAUUUUAAUUUUCAUCCGGAACUUUUGAUUAAAGAAUAAGUUAACAAGAUCACAAAUUUGACUAGACAUUCAGUGCCAGCUUUUGAGUACUAGACAGUUUUCAACACUCUUUGCUACACGUGUCGGUCAGUGCUGAUAAGGUUUAAAUGCACAUGCCUAUUUGUAGACAGCAGUAGGUUUUAUUAUACUAAUAGCAUGGUUAUUAUUUGGUUCACCGUGUGUACCGAACCGGUUUGGACUAAUAAAUACACACCCCUAAAGUAAAAUUGUAUCUGGCUUCAUAUAAAUAAUUACCAUUUGAAUAUAUUUUAAAAAAAAAAGAAAAGAAAGCAGUGCUCCAGUACUGAUUACACAGGGCAGCUUAGGACAUCACUGGUAAUGAGUCGGAUCAUUCUUUUCAUGGCUUCUUCUUCACUUUGUUUAAAGGGAUAUUUCACUACUGUAAAGAUGGUAUUUAUAAAACUCUGCUUUCUAUGCAGUAGAAAGACGCAAAUAUUUUUGAAAUUGGUGCUACAUGACCAGAGAAAAAGGGCCUUUAGCUCAAAAGGUAGAAAACCUACAACAGCCAGAAUGCACUGGCUUCCAAGGCCACUCCCACUCCAAACUUCCCCAACUCCUACAAACAGUCGGUCAGAGCUACUAACGUUAGACUAAACUCUGAAAGCACUGCCGGGUAACAAACUGGGGCAAUGUAUGUGCUAAGCCUCAUAAAAAAACAUGUAUGCUUUCACACUGUAACAUUGCCAUGCUAAUAACAAAACACUGUUGCUAUUGCAGUUACUCUAUGCUCAGAUGUCUGUUGUCGCUGCUGGCUUUGGUUGUUUUUCCAGUUUCUUUUUGGGAUCCUGAUGUAUGUCUCAAGCACUCCCCUGUCCAUAUGUGGCCCAAAGCUUUGGUGUAACACACACUCCACUUCAGUUUCCAUUGGUGCACAUUUACCGCAGCGGCACUACCAGUUGUCCCUGGCACGGGGCAGCUAUGCGCCGCUAUCCUCACCGGCUGGCGGUGCUUGAAUCUCGGCUGUGGUGGCCUCUUCCUCCUUCAUAAGAACAUUGCCUUCUGCCAGUGGUUGUUCUAGCCAGUUAAUUUUGGACAGGAUGUUUUGAAUUUGGAGCAGUGAGGAGCCGCCCCUUUCUCGAUCCGACUGUCUGUGGAGGCGGGCAUACAAAAAAUGCGGAAGUACAAUCUGUAGUUCACGUCAUCCGGCGGACUUUUGCCGUCAAAUGAACAGGGAGCUCUGUGUGCAGGCAACAUGGAGGGAAGUUAUCCAUUGUUCCUUUGCAUAUGUUACCCACACUGUAAUGAUACAAAACUGGAGCUUCUGAACAGUAUUUUGGUUUUUGCUUUGAAAACUCAACAGAACAACCUUUUUAAUUCCGAUAAGGAUAACCUUUAACAUUUUUAAGUAUUAUGGUGGGCUUUUAUGUAAAUAUUUAUUUUCUUGUAAUAAAUUAUUAGUCUUCAGAGACAAAAUUGUGCACAGCUAUAAGUUGUAGUUUAUAAUCUCAAAUAGGCCUCACAAAAAUGUUUUGAAUACGAUGAUCUUGCAGGUUGCUAAUGACGGCGAAUGAUUUUAGUAGUCAGUGGAAUUGAAUAGAGCAUUGACCUUUUCACAAACCUGCCGUUCUGAAAACAUAACCAUCACCUUAUUACUAAUGUACAUGCAUACCCAGCUGUGACUUUUUUGACUUAAACCUCAAGUGCAGACAAAACAAGCCUUAUUUUUAGAGGUUCAAAGUACCUUAUUCUACACACAACCUGGCUAUAGUAGCUUGCUGUCAACAGAUAGAGUAGCUGUUGAUUACAUAUGGUAAUGAGAUGUUGUUGUGUUUGUUUGUUUUUUUAUUUUUUUUUAUUUUUAUUGGUUGACAUGUCCAUGUAUUCAUUCAAUAUAAGUAUAUGUAAUCCAUGGUUAUUCUAUUCCAUUUGCAGUAAUCAUUAAAACAGUAGGAUUGUUAUUGUACCUAUCCAUGGACUUCCCUUAAAGCACCAUGAUAAUCAAACAGUUGCAUAAAUGAUUGUUCAUUUAUAUUUAAUUUUGGAAUAAUAACAAAGAAGACUGAAACGAAUUAAAAGACAUAAGGAUAUAAAAUUAA